GGCAGGAAAUUUAAAGGCCUUUUAUUAAUGUAAAUGAGGAGGAGGUCUGUGUACAAGUAUAUAAGUAUAGGCAUAUUUGAAUUCUGGCUCUCAAAUAUUCAUGUGGUCUGAUCGUGGGUGAGUUUUUUUCCCAUUGAUGCUUGGUUUCAAGUUCUUGUUUCAGAAGAAUCUCAAAAUCUGCAAAAUGGCUCAGCUCUUGGACGUCACUAAGAAGAAGGAGAAACAGAGACUUCUGAGACUGAAACCUCCAUAAAUUGCCUCUAGCGGGAGGAUUUUCUGCCUGGAAGAAGAAAGGGAACACAGGAAUCUGCAUAAAACGAACACUAUCGGAAACUUUGUCUCCUAUUUGUUCUGCUAAAAGUUCAUUUGUUCUUCCCAUAGAAGGCUUUCUCAUCCUUUGCUUUCAUGUGGCAAAUUAGGUAUAUAAACCCUGGUCUCUAAUUAUUGAGCCAGUUCUUUUGUGUGCCCCUAUAUGUGUAUGAGU
rnacentral:lncRNA from 1 species